GACGAACGCUGGCGGCGUGCUUAACACAUGCAAGUCGAACGGUUAAGCGCCUUCCUUUUUGGUGGGUGUGGAUGAGUGGCGAACGGGUGAGUAACACGUGAGUAACCUGCCCCCUUCUUCUGGAUAACCGCAUGAAAGUGUGGCUAAUACGGGAUAUUCUGGGUCUGUCGCAUGAUGGGUCUGGGAAAGAUAUUGUUUCGGUGGGGGAUGGGCUCGCGGCCUAUCAGCUUGUUGGUGGGGUGAUGGCCUACCAAGGCGGUGACGGGUAGCCGGCAUGGGAGGGUGGACGGUCACACUGGGGAGGAGACACGGAGCAGACUACUACGGGAGGCAGCAGUGGGGAAUAGUGCACAGUGGGAGGAAGCCUGCUGCAGCGACGCCGCGGGAGGGAUGGAGGCCUUCGGGUUGUGAACCUCUUUCGCCAGUGAAGCAGGCCUGCCUCGUUUGUGGGUGGGUUGACGGUAGCUGGAUAAGAAGCGCCGGCUAACUACGUG
rnacentral:rRNA from 1 species